rnacentral:snRNA from 1 species
GGAUGUAAGGGCCAUGUGGCUGUGACAUCUGUCACCCCAUUGAUUGCCAGGGUUGAUUCAGCUGAUCUGGCUGGCUGGGCAGGUGUCCAUGUCAUCCCUUUCCACUUCAUGUGCAUCCCUCCCGAAGUUGUGCUCUAGGUGGAAGAAAGAGAUCAAUGGAAGAGGAGCAUUCUUCAGUAAAGGCUGUAUGAGUAGCUGUGCUCCGCUCAUGGAACUUCCAGACGAGCUCGCAAGGUUCAUUAUAGGAGAAUAUAGGGGACUAAAGCUUCCAAGACUCCAGGCACAUCCAAAUGAUGUGUCGUGUAUGGCAGUAUGAUUUUCUUU